UACGUAGGGCGCGAGCGUUGUCCGGAAUUAUUGGGCGUAAAGAGCUCGUAGGCGGUCUGUCGCGUCGGCUGUGAAAACCCGGGGCUCAACCCCGGGCCUGCAGUCGAUACGGGCAGACUAGAGUGCGGUAGGGGAGACUGGAAUUCCUGGUGUAGCGGUGAAAUGCGCAGAUAUCAGGAGGAACACCGGUGGCGAAGGCGGGUCUCUGGGCCGUAACUGACGCUGAGGAGCGAAAGCGUGGGGAGCGAACAGG
rnacentral:rRNA from 1 species